GGGCUGCGGUAAUUUGACCGUGCGAAGGUAGCAUAAUCAAUAGUCUUUUAAUUGAUGACUGGAAUGAAUGGUGUAACGAGGAGUAAACUGUCUUUGAAGUAGAGAUUGAAUUUUACUUUCAAGUGAAAAGGCUUGAAUAUUAUUAAGGGACGAUAAGACCCUAUAAAACUUAACAUUAUGGUUUUGUCAGGAGUUAAAGUGGAAUUAAGAUUAAAUUUAAUUGUUUGGUUGGGGCGACUUAGAUAUAAAAGUAACUGUUUAAAAAUAAAAAUAAUUAUAAUUUGUUUUGUGAACCUUUAUUAAGGAUUAAAAGAUUAAGUUACUUUAGGGAUAACAGCGUAAUUUUUUCAGAGAGUUCUUAUCGAAGAAAGUAGUUGCGACCUCGAUGUUGAAUUAAAAUUUCUAUAAAAUGGAGCAGUUUAAAUAGUGGGUCUGUUCGACCUUUAAAAUUU
rnacentral:rRNA from 1 species